UACAGCCAUGCCAGGUUGAAACACCUGUUCUCAUACAAUCACUGAAGUUAAGCAAUAUUGAGCAUGGUCAGUACCUAGAUAGGUGACUGCUUGGGUAUACCAGGUGCUGUCAG